rnacentral:rRNA from 1 species
UAUUUAGGUAGCGCCUCGUGAACUCAUCUCCGGGGGUAGAGCACUGUUUCGGCUAGGGGGCCAUCCCGGCUUACCAACCCGAUGCAAACUGCGAAUACCGGAGAAUGUUAUCACGGGAGACACACGGCGGGUGCUAACGUCCGUCGUGAAGAGGGAAACAACCCAGACCGCCAGCUAAGGUCCCAAAGUCAUGGUUAAGUGGGAAACGAUGUGGGAAGGCCCAGACAGCCAGGAUGUUGGCUUAGAAGCAGCCAUCAUUUAAAGAAAGCGUAAUAGCUCACUGGUCGAGUCGGCCUGCGCGGAAGAUGUAACGGGGCUAAACCAUGCACCGAAGCUGCGGCAGCGACGCUUAUGCGUUGUUGGGUAGGGGAGCGUUCUGUAAGCCUGCGAAGGUGUGCUGUGAGGCAUGCUGGAGGUAUCAGAAGUGCGAAUGCUGACAUAAGUAACGAUAAAGCGGGUGAAAAGCCCGCUCGCCGGAAGACCAAGGGUUCCUGUCCAACGUUAAUCGGGGCAGGGUGAGUCGACCCCUAAGGCGAGGCCGAAAGG